rnacentral:rRNA from 1 species
UACGAAGGGGGCUAGCGUUGCUCGGAAUCACUGGGCGUAAAGCGCACGUAGGCGGAUUGCUAAGUCAGGGGUGAAAUCCUGGAGCUCAACUCCAGAACUGCCUUUGAUACUGGUGAUCUUGAGUUCGGGAGAGGUGAGUGGAACUGCGAGUGUAGAGGUGAAAUUCGUAGAUAUUCGCAAGAACACCAGUGGCGAAGGCGGCUCACUGGCCCGAUACUGACGCUGAGGCACGAAAGCGUGGGGAGCAAACAGG